UGGGAAUUGUAGUUUCGGUGCCGCGUGCUGCAGCGCCGUGGCGCUCGGUGGGAACUCGGUGUCCCAGCGCGCCCCGGGCAGGUGCUGUCGCGGCGGCCGUGAGGAGAGCGUCAGGCGGGAAAGGCGGGCAGCGCUGUGAGCGGGCGCCGGGCCUGCGCAGCUUCAGGCUGCAGGAGGACGAGGCCAGGAUGGGAGAGGCUGAUGGAGAACGUGCCAGCCAGAGAGACACGGGCCUGUCUGCGCUGUGCCGUGCCCACAUUGCUGUGACGAACGUAAUAAGGAUUGGCGGUGUUAAUGUGGAGACUGAGUAACUGUAAUGGAGCCUGCCCUAGCAGGGUGGAAGUGCUGAGAUCUUUGGUGGCUUUAACUGACCCUCGGGAGGGGAAGCUGACUCAGUCUCAAGAGAAAGCAUUAAAGUUGCCAGACAUUUGGAAAACCAUACAUACAGCUGUUCCUGGGCCUACAUCAAGGACCUC
rnacentral:lncRNA from 1 species